rnacentral:rRNA from 1 species
UGGGAACAUACCUUUUGGUUCGGAACAACACAUGGAAACUUGUGCUAAUACCGGAUAAGCCCUUACGGGGAAAGAUUUAUCGCCGAAAGAUUGGCCCGCGUCUGAUUAGCUAGUUGGUGAGGUAACGGCUCACCAAGGCGACGAUCAGUAGCCGGCCUGAGAGGGCGAUCGGCCACACUGGAACUGAGACACGGUCCAGGCUCCUACGGGAGGCAG